rnacentral:rRNA from 1 species
GAUGAACGCUGGCGGCGUGCCUAAUACAUGCAAGUCGAGCGAACAGAUGAGGAGCUUGCUCCUCUGACGUUAGCGGCGGACGGGUGAGUAACACGUGGAUAACCUACCUAUAAGACUGGGAUAACUUCGGGAAACCGGAGCUAAUACCGGAUAAUAUAUUGAACCGCAUGGUUCAAUAGUGAAAGACGGUUUUGCUGUCACUUAUAGAUGGAUCCGCGCCGCAUUAGCUAGUUGGUAAGGUAACGGCUUACCAAGGCAACGAUGCGUAGCCGACCUGAGAGGGUGAUAGGCCACCCUGGAACUGAGACACGCUCCAGACUCCUACGGGAGGCAGCAGUAGGGAAUCUUCCGCAAUGGGCGAAAGCCUGACGGAGCAACGCCGCGUGAGUGAUGAAGGUCUUCGGAUCGUAAAACUCUGUUAUUAGGGAAGAACAAAUGUGUAAGUAACUAUGCACGUCUUGACGGUACCUAAUCAGAAAGCCACGGCUAACUACGUG